GUAGGAGGCAAGCGUUAUCCGGAUUCACUGGGCGUAAAGCGCGCGCAGGUGGCGCAGUAAGUGGCUGGUGAAAGCCCUCGGCUCAACCGAGGGACUGCCUGCCAAACUGCUGCGCUUGAGGCCGGGAGGGGGAAGCGGAAUUCCUGGUGUAGCGGUGAUAUGCGUAGAUACCAGGAGGAACACCGGUGGCGAAGGCGGCUUCCUGGACCGGCUCUGACACUCAUGCGCGAAAGCGUGGGGAGCAAACAGGAUUAGAUACCCUGGUAGUCCACGCCCUAAACGAUGACAACUGGAUGUCGGGAGGGUUUGCCUUCCGGUGUCGUAGCUAACGCGUUAAGUUGUCCGCCUGGGAAGUACGGCCGCAAGGUUG
rnacentral:rRNA from 1 species